UACGUAGGGGGCAAGCGUUGUCCGGAAUCAUUGGGCGUAAAGAGCGCGUAGGCGGCCCUGUAAGUCCGCUGUGAAAGUCAAGAGCUCAACCCUUGGAUGCCGGUGGAUACUGCAGGGCUAGAGUCCGGAAGAGGCGAGUGGAAUUCCUGGUGUAGCGGUGAAAUGCGCAGAUAUCAGGAGGAACACCGAUGGCGAAGGCGGUUCUCUGGGCAUUACCUGACGCUGAGGAGCGAAAGUGUGGGGAGCGAACAGG
rnacentral:rRNA from 1 species